AUGGAUGGCAGACUGGACCUGGUCAGAACUGUGCUCUCAGCGAUGCCAAUUUUUCAAAUGAUAGCCAUUCACAUGCCGGCGUGGCUAGCCAAGUUGAUCGACAGAGUUCGUCGCAGAUUCCUAUGGGAGGGCAACGAGGUGGCCUCAGGCGGGAAGUGCUUAGUCAACUGGAAGAUUGUAUGCAGACCAAAAGAAUUCGGCGGCCUCGGCAUCACAAAUUUGUCAGCCCAGAGCUUGGCGUUGCGGACGAGAUGGCUCUGGCAAUCUUGGAACGAGACCAACAAACCAUGGCAA
rnacentral:rRNA from 1 species